UGGAAAGUGCUAAGUAGUAACUAGUAUUACUAAUGCCAAGCAGGGAAGGGGUUAGUGGGUGGGAACCCUCCUCAUUACUUCUACCAAGUGUUAUUGUACCCAUCUAGGGUAUAAGAACUGUGGAAACCCAGGUUUACACUGUAGAGUUACUCUAAUUAUAGCAUAUCAUGGAGUUAAUUGUGGACCCCAUUUAACAACAGCUUUGUCACAGGGCAGUUUUGCAAGAGUGAGACUGAACUCUAUUGUUUUCAUCCUCAUUAUCUUAAAUGAACAGUUUGCAAUAUGUGAUAAUACCACUGGCAUCUGUUUCUGAAUGUUUCCACUCACAAGACCCAAAACAAUUCCACAAAGAAAAGACUUCUUUCGGUUGUUCUGGAGUCUUUCUAAAACAGCUUCUACUGGGAGAUUAAUUAUAGAAGCCACAGAAUUUCCUGAAAAUGGUAAAACAUUUUAAAGAAAUACUAAGACACUACAUGAUAAAUGACUUGACUCUUUAUUGCCUAACAAUCCAAAAGAAAAAUGCAUGUGUGAAACAGAACAGGAUGUAAUGGAAAUCUAUGUAGAUGGACUAUAAAAUGGAUUUUAUUAACUAUUUACAGUGGCUGUGUAAAUUGUUUUUGUCUGUGCUUGAGAAAGUUCUGUCAUUGUUUUUAGGUCUUUCUUGUUGCUUAUCUUUCAGAUUUGCAGUAUAAAGGUGAGUGGCUCCAAAUGUCAGUGGUUGUCAGCUAGAUCUUCAGUCUACCUUUUCAUUGGCUCCGUUUGUAAUAGAAAAGCAAAAGUUAUUCCCCAGUUGUAUAAGGCCGAGUCCAGGUCGUACAGAAUAAUGAAAUGGGAAAGCUCAGAGACCCUAAUGUUAGACAAUGAAACAAGAAACUCACAGACCUCUGGACAUGCCAUGAAAUGGGAAAAUGUGCAUUUUACCUCCUCCACAGCACAUGGAAUUUUGAAGACCAAGGAGAGAUAGGAGAACGGGUCAUCAUAGGGGUUGAUGGGCCAGCUUUAUUCUAAAUGACUGAAGACUUCUGUUCUUUUCAACAAACACAGUCCUCCAAUUAGGAGCUGCAAAUAAGAUUAUAUGCCCUGAAUAAGUCUGAAAAGGUCCUUUUAUAAUUAGAAAGUUUGUGUGUGGGAAGUGGAAGCAGCAUGAAGUGCUCACUGUGGCUUUAUUAAAAGAGUGACAUGAAGAUUUUCCCAAAUCCUCAUCUGAGUGCUCGAAAAUGAUAAAAUAAAAAUUAUGAAAAACUGUAUGCAUAUUCCAUUUCUUCUUUUUCUUUCUGAAAGCUUUCACAUUUAUGCUAUAGAAACAAGUCAAUGGUUUUUUAAAAUUUUAUCAGGCAUAUUCGAAACAGACUGUCAUUUGAUAGUGUGCAGAUUGUUAAAAUACAAGUGAAAAUGAUUUCAAUGAAGGGAUGAAGUUUAAUACAGUGCAUACUUUAUAUUUUCAUUUUAACACUUUUAUGAUCGUCACUCCAUCACUACAGUGACAUAAUAUUUUGUUAAAUAUGGUUGGACUUAACUUAUAUUAAGCUUCCUGGUCUGUGGACACACAGGACUGAUUGUGCUCAGCUACUCUUCUAGACCAAUCAGACUUUAGUAUGUAAAUGGACAUUUCCUGGAUGAACCAAUGACCGUCCCCCACGCCCCCCCGCCCUCCCCCCCCCCCCCCCACACACAUUGCACUCGGGACCCAGUUGCAUACAGCCCUUACAGCUUCACAGAAGGAAGAUGCCUGCUGGACACAGCUUCCUAUGAGCUAAGACGGGAAGUCAAGGCUGGCAGGAAAGAGGAAGAGCUGAGAGGCUAGAUAAUAAUAGGAAAAUAACAGUUCCAGGCACUGUGGACAGAACCACAGCCAAUCUGCGGCUCAGCCACUUCCACAAAUAUAUUUUGAGUGCUUACAAUGUGCCAGACACUGUCCGGGGGCUGGAGAUACAGCAGUGGACAGAGACAGAUAUCCCUGUCCUCAGAGAGCUGACAUUCUAGACUUUCUGAACUAAUGUGACUCCAGUGGAUUGUUAUUUUUUGUAGUUUAAGUUAUGAAAAAAUUAUUAUUCGGAGAUAAAAUUAUUUAACAAUAUUGAAUGUGCUCUUUCCAGCUGCAUUCUCACUACCCCACUCCUAUCCCAUCCAGAAAUUUAGACACACUCCUCCCUGUAGGGAUCACCAUGCCACACAGACUAUAAAUGUGUUCAGCUGCUGGGCUGUUCUACUGAGAGGACUUUUAUGUCUAGAUGGAACCAUAGGCUUUACAUCAUAGCAAGGUGUAAUUUUGACAAAUGGUUCUAAGUCCUGGUUGCACAAUAGAGUCAUCUGGGGAAGCUUUAUAAAAACACCUAAUGCCUAUGAUCCCUUGAAUAUCACACCGACAGCACAGGAAACAGAAGCAAAAGUAGACAAAUGGGGCUGCAUUGAACUAAAAAGUUUCUGCACAGCAAAGGAAACAAUCAGCAGAGUGAAAAGGCAACCUGUGGAAUAGGAGAGAAUAUUUGCAAACCAUAUAUCUGAUAAAGGGUUAGUAUGGAAAAUAUGUAAGAAACUCAUACAAUUUAAUAGCAAAAAAAUCAAUAGCCUAAUUUAAAAAUGGGAAAAUGACUUGAAUAGACAUUUCUCCAAAGAAAAUAUACAAAUGGUCAACAGGUGUAUGAAAAGAUGCUCAACAUCAGUAAUCAUCAAAGAAAUGUAAAUCAAAACCACAAUAAAAUACCAUCUGACACCGGUGUGGACAGCCACUAUUAAAAGAAAAAAAAGGAAAAGAAGAAACAGAAGGAAAGAAAAGAAUAAAUGUUGGUUAGGAAAUGGAGAAACUGGAACCCUUGUACGCUGUUGGUGGGGAAAAAAGAUAGAGCAGCUGCUAUGAAAAACGGUAUGGAGAUUCCUCAAAAAAUUAAAAAUAGAGCUACCAUAUGAUCCAGCAUUCCCAUGUCUGGGUAUUUAUGCAAAAGAACUGAAAUCAGGAUCUUGAAGAGAUAUUUGUCCUCCAUGUUUCUUGCAACACUACUCACAAUAGCUAAGAGGUAGAAACAACCUAAAGGCCCACCAACUGAUGAAUGGAUAAAGAAAAUGUGGUGGGUGCAUCCAGUGGAAUAUUAUUCAGCUUUAAAACAGAAGGAAAUCCUGACACAUGCUACAACACAGAAGAACUUGAGGACAUUAUGAUAUGUGAAAUAGGCCAGUCACAGAAAGACAAAUACUGUAUGAUUCCACGUGUAUGAGGUAUCUACUAAAGCAGUCAAACUCAUGGAAGGAGAAAUGUGAAUGGUGAUACCAAGGACUAGUGAGGGAGAGAAAUGGGGAGCUGCUGUUCAAUGAUUAUAGACUUUCAGUCAUGCAAGAUGAAAAAUUUCUAGAGAUUUGCACAACAGAUAUGUAUAACAAUGGGCAUGUAGUUAACAAUACUGUACUGUACACUUAAAAAUUUGUUGAGAGGGUAUAUUUCAUGUAUGUUGUUGGGUUUUUUUUUACCAUAAUAAAAACAAAAAUGCAAACAAAAAACACCUAAUGCCUGGCUCCGCUCUAACCAAUUAAAUCAGAAUUUCUGGGGGUUGGGUGUUGGGCAUCCCUUUGUUGUUUUUGAUGAUGUUGUUUUUCCUCUUUUAGCUGUGCACAUUAGAGAGCUUCAUGCUAAAAAGUCUCCAUAAAACAUUAUCAUCUUCUUCUUCUUUUUUUUUUUUUUUUCUUGAGACAGGGUCUCACUCUGUCACCCAGGCUGGACUGCAGGGACCCAUUUUGGCUCACUGCGGCCUCAACCUCCUGGACUCAAGCAAUCCUCCCACCUCAGCCUCCCAAGCAGCUGGGACCACAGGCGUGCGCCACAAUGCCUGGCUAAAAUAGUUUUGUUUUUUUGUUUGUAGAUAUGGGGUUUCUCCAUGUUUCCCAGGCUGGUCUCGAACUCCUGAGCUCAAGCAAUAUGCCGAUGUCAGCCUCCCAAAGUUCUGGAUUACAGGCAUGAGCCACUAUCUUCUUUUUUUAAAAUAUCCAUCCCUCAUCUCAUAUUUGCUCUCUAACAAUAACCGUAAUACUUAAUAAUAUCUGUUUUAAUCAAUGGCACCAUUGUCCUUCAAGUUACCUGCCUGGAAAUGUGAAUGUCAUACUAAAUUCACUCCAACUGCCAGUCAUCAAUAGUGUUAAUUCUACAUCUUAAAGAUCUAUCCAUCCCCACCACUCCAACCACAUCUUUAGGAUGGGUUUUUCUCACUUCUAAAAUUGAUAUCUAGUUAUGUUGCUCCACCUUUGAAAAUUUUCACCAAAUAGCCUAACUUUCAGAAUGAACUUUAAACUAAAGCUAAUAUGCCUCUUUUGCCUACUCUAUCCACUGAAAUAGAAGGAAGGAGGGUCAACUGAAAAGAGGUAAGCUUUACAUAGUAUAUUUUAUAUGCCUAUCAUUCAUAUUUCUUUCUGAGUACUAAUAAAAUUAGGGUUUGGGUUUUGACUGGACCUUGCUAUUCUAAACGUUGCAAUUGAUUUCUAUAUGGCUAUGCAUGUCCUGCCCAAGUCUACAUGAUCUUACCCUUGCCAACUGCUCAGCCUCAUCUUCACAUGCAAGCAAUGCUCCAUCAUUUCCAGUCUCCUCUCAACUCCUCAGAAGAGCCAUCUCUCUGCCAUUUGAACAUUGGCACAGGUUGUUCAAACUCUCUACACCUUCCUUCUUCCUGCCCUCCACCAGCUCACUAAUCCUUCUCCAGACUUCAAGAUCAGCUUAUAUAUUACAUUGGCUUAGGGUUGGGAACAGGGAUGGUCACAGCAACAGAUGAUAUAACAAAGAUGGCUGGCAGUGCCCAAGGACUUUUGAGCCUAUGCACCUUCAUUUCCAAAGCUGCCUUCUUGAAGCCAUCCUGGCCAGCUUCAUGGAGUUUACAGGACCCACUCAUCCCUUUGUCUUUUACAGGUUACCCAAAAAGAGAUGCUCUAGAGGAAAUGGCACAAAGCCAUAGAAUUUUAAUUGCAGUUUGUAAUUACAAAUGUGAGUAAGUCAAAGUUUGCAAAAUCUGUAAAACUGAGAAAUUACUAUGAAUUUUGCAACAAUGACAAGAAUAGUUGUGAGUAGGUCCACACAAACAGAUGAGUUAUAUAAAUACAGGAAGCAACUUUUCUCACCCAUCCCCAACCACUACAACCAAAGCCAAAAUAUACCUGUUGGCUACCACCCACUAAAAUAUGAGCGGGAGAGGUCAAAUGAGAAGAGGUGAGAUUUAUAUAGCAUAUUUUGUAUCCUUAUAAUUAAUAUUUCUUUCUGAGUACUAACGAAAUUGGAAUUUGAGUUUUAAGUGGGCCUUGCUGUUCUAAACGGUGCAAUUGAUUUGGAUAUUGCUAUUGAUUUGCUUUUUAGGCUAUUAUCUACUUGACAACCAGGAAGAAUGAUCUUCUUUGGAUCUGACCUGCCAGAUUUGAUUCCCAAGGAAUGAUGAACAUCCAUUAGAGGGUCCAUAUAUAUUAAUGAGCAAGAGGGUGUUGAACUGCAUACUCUGUAAUUAUAUCCACAAUUGCUUCCACAUUUAAAACAAGUUUUGAUAUUAUUUGCAUGCAUCAUUGAAAACCAAUUAUUUAUACAUGUUGCAAUUUUGACUCAUAAAAAAUGAACAUUUGUUUUAUACUUUUUGAGUAGAGAAAAAUGCAAUGAAUAGAAUAUAAUCGGUUCCCUAAAAUUAUCAGUUACCAAAAAUAUUCCUUUUUGAUCCAAGAAAGUCUGUGAAAUAUGAAUGUUUGCAUUAUUUAGUUUGUUUACUUGCUUGUAGUUAUUCUUGUUAAAAUUUAAAAGUCCAAUUAUUUGACUAUGACAUAGGAAUUAGGUCCAAAUAAUUAGAGAAGCAUUUGCCCAUUGGUAAUUAAAGUUUCUGGGUGAAAGGAAUUUAAAAGGUUAUAUAAGAGAUAAUAAGUAAUAUUAUCUUCUAGUGAGUAACUAUUCCCUUAGUUCUUUGGAAAGGGAAUAUUAACUCUUCCAGUCUGUAUUUUUGUUCAUUUUAUUCAAAUGUGACUUGGAAGGAAGGGUUAGUUGUAGUUAAUAGAUACCAGCUACAUGCCAGACACCGCCAUGAAAACUCGGAACACAAAGACAAAUAAGAAAAACCUCCUUCCUCAAGAAACUUACAUUUCAGUGGGCUGCAGUGCCUAGAAGUUUAAAAUAUCACAUAUCGGAAGUUAUCUUCUAUCCAAUAUGCUCUCCACCAACACUGAGGAAAGCCAAGACCUCGCAUUAAGUGUAGGAACAAUCAUAAAUAUUUCAGGGGUUACAAAAAUGUCUGCAGGCUCAUAAAAUUUUGGAACUUAUGGGGAAAAAUUAAAUUUACUGAUGGGAACACACAGACGAAGCCAAGCUUGCUCAUUUCUUCUGCAGCCCCUUCACAUAUGGGAGACAGGGUAGUAGGGAGGUUUGGAGAAGUUGAGUGCACUGGUCCUGGAGUUAGGCUAGAAGGAGUCUUUGCUGUCUUUUAGGUUAUGACUUUAAGCAUCUUAUGUAGCAACCCCUUGCCUCAGUUUAUACUGCUGCAAAAUGGAAGUAAUAAUUGUGCUCACCCCAUAGGACUGUUACAAAGAUUAAUUGAUAACAGGGUCAAAAGGGGCUUAAUCAACACAAGCUACUACUGUAAUGAUCACAUUCACUUCUCUCUCAACCCAAAUUCUUCAGUAUCAUUGGAAUUCAGUUCUAAAUCCAUCUCAAUUAGGUCCCUUUAAGAUGAACUCUAGACAUUUCCUGAGGCUGGCUUGAAAAGGAGAGGGAGUAGGGGAUGAAUUCUUUCUCACUCUCUGCCAUCAGAUUUGAAACGACUUCAUUAGUGGCCCAUUUUUUUUUUUCAUACUGCAAGCUUUAGGGGCUUUGAAGAAAUCCACCUAAAAAUGCAGAUUCCCCUGGGAAUGGCCUAUUCCAGUUUUAAGGAGAACAGAGGUGUCAGGUGUAAGGCUCUGUGUUGAGGGGAAGCGAGGGCUUUGCAGCUGCCUUUGUAAACACUAUAUUAGGAAGGAAAAAAAAAUCCUGGCUCAAUGCCACCUUUUCCCCCCGUGCCCUGAGAACUGUUGCAGGUCCUUCCCCAAAGCCACAUCUGUGAAAGACAGAACUGGUAGGAACAAUCCUCAAUAUACAAGUGCCUAGGAAGCCAGGCAGAUGACGAGCUCAGGGGAGCUGGGAGAAGAGUGGCCAAUCCAUCCUUCUAUUGGCAGAAACUUCAAGGAAGCAGAGGUUUGUACAGGUCAGAGUAUUUUUUUCACUAUGUCUUAGAUUGCUGAGGUGAGGAGAAUGCAGCACAGUGAAGCCAACACAGAAUCAAGUGGCCCUUCUCUUCCAUCACUGAUGUUCUGAAUCACAUUGCUGUGGUGGGUAAUAUUGCUAUCUGCAGGAGAAGAAAUGAAAUAGAGAUGGUGAUGCUUUGUCUGAUUAAACCAGCGCUGCCCAGUAGAAAGAGUGAGAGGCACAAACAUGAAGGUGUCAUUUUAAACUUUCUAGUAACCCAUAUCUAAAAAGAGGGGAAAGAAAGAGAAAUUUAUUUUAACAAAGUGUUUUCUUUAACCCAACAUAUCCAGUACACCAUCAUUUCAUCAAGUAACCAAUUAAAAAAUUACUAAUAAGAGCUUUUACAUUCCUUUUUCUAAGGCUUCAAAAUCUGGUGUGGAUUUUAUACCUAUAGCACAUUGCAAUUUGGACCAGGCACAUUUCAGGGCUCAACAGCUUCAUGUGCCUAGUGGCUAUCAUUGUGGACAGAAAAGGACUAAACUCUUCUCUAAAAAUUGACAUAAAGCAGAAACUUCCUGGUCGUUAGACCAAUAUAGUGCUCUCCAUUUGAGUGCAUUGGAAUGAUCUGAGAUUCAAUGUAUAAAUUACAGGCUUUUCAGCCCCAAGCUCUGAACUGUCACUUGAUCUCUCUUCUGCCAGCAGGAGGCAGUGGUCACUCGAAUCCCAAAUCCCUGGUCCUCAGCCUCACCUAAGAAGUAUCUUUUUGGUCAAUUUCUUUCCAUUUCUUAGAGUUUCCAAGAAGUUCAGUGUUACAGCUUUCUGGGGUACUCACACCUACUUUUAAGAGUUUCCAGGUCUUUCUGACAAAAGGCCAUGCAGGUAAGCGUCAAGAGCUGGAGAAGUGGCAGAUGUACUUUGUAAACAAUGCAGCAAACGCAGAUACUGGGUUGCUUAAGCAAGUCCUUGCAAAGGGGCAGGAAUGGGCAGAUGAGGCCUUCACCCACCACCCCCACAAGGCUUUGCUUUCCUUCCUUUCCAAAUGAUCCCACCCUGUCCUCAGGAAUCCAUAAUCCAUGAUGAAUACCUUUCUCCUGAUCACUCUCUCAGUCUCAGAAUGGUCCCUUUGAGGCCAUCUGCUCUGGACUCUGGCUUACUCUACAGCUCACAAAGAGGUUCCUCACUUUCCUGUACCUCCAGAGAUCCUACUGGUCUCAGUCCAAAGGUCUCCACCUUAGAGAAAUCUUUUAUUGACCCACAACUAGAAUAGGUGUAAGUGAGAUAAGUGUGCAUUCUUCUUAGCUCACAGUGGUGUUCUCUUAAUUGUGGCACCUCCCACAUUUUAUAAUUAUGGUCAACCUGGGUGAUUGUCUAAUUGUACUAUAAUCUAUUCCCCCAUAUGCUUCAUGUAAACAGAAAAUGGAUCUGUUUUGCCCACGUUUAAUAGAGAUAAUAUGAAAUGCUAGCCCCUCUUCCCCACCCUGUCGAGCCCUAUUGUGAGUUUGUUUAUUUAUUCAAGAUAGGGUCUUGCUCUGUCACCCAGGCUAGAGUGCAAUGGCACCAUCACGGUUCCCUGCAGCCUUAACCUCCUUGGCUCAAACAAUUCUCCCGCCUCAGCCUCCCAAGUAGCUGAGACUACAGGUGUGUGCCACCAAGCCUGGCUACUUUUUUAAUUUUUUGUAGAGACAGGGCCUUGGUAUGUUGCCCACGCUGGUCUCAAAUUCCUGGGCUCAAGUGAUUCUGCCACCUCGGCCUCCCAAAGUGCUGGAAUUACAGGCAUGAGCUACCUGGCCGGGCCCUUAAUGUGAGUUUAAUACGAUCCUAAACUCAGAGAAACUCAGUCCCCACACCCAACUAAAUAUUCAUUCAACUGUUUUUGUUCUCCUUGUUUUAUUUUUGUAUUUAAAUGUACACGGUUCUCCUCUGGUUCCUAUUUACAACCCUUCAUGAAGGUGCCUCACCAGGUGGGCAUAGCCUCCUUUGCACUGUAUUCCUUUCCCCUCCUCCAGAACCAAGGUUUUCCCCUGCUCCACCAAACCCUGUUGAACAUCUGCCUCCCAUCUCCCAGCUUCUCUGAUAUUUCAGAGACCCCUAGAAUUUUGCCUCUGUCCUAUGGAUAGACCAAGAACUUUCUGUGUUUCUAUUGCUAUGCUAUAUUCUUGAAGGGAAGGAAGACAUACCCUGAAAUCUCUACCUUUUAUUGUGAACUACAACUGCAAAAUCACAUCAAAAGGCUUAAGGGAAAAUAUUGGCAAAUUGAAAAGGCAGACUAGGAGCAGCUUGAUGUCCAGGCAACUACAAGUUCCUGUAUUUCAUAAGUCAACCUGGGCUUCAUUUUUUACUAUUUCUGCCUGUAGCUAUGACUUGUUUCAAAAUCCUACCUGAUACAUUAAGAAUUUAGAAAGCCUCAUGCAGGCUUCCUAUUUUCCACAAAUGACAAUAAACUAAAAGUCCUCCAGAGACAUUUUGGUCAUAGAAUAUGAUUGCAAGAUGGUGAUUUAGCCUACUGCCAGCAAAGAGCUCUUGUCUGGAAAGAACUAGUGCCAGAGACAGUGGCUUUGGAUGAUGGUCCUUCUGGUUUCAAUGAGCACCAUGAGUCACUGAAAAUAAAUGUCCGGGCAGCUUAAGGGGUCUCUGAUUGCAUGUAGAUCCAUGCCUGUGAAUGGUAGUACUAGAAAGGAUGAAAUGUGUGUGAGCUACAUAACAAAAGGAGGUUGGGCUGGAUGACUAGGAUGUGUUCUUGGAGAGAAGAGCUGAAGGUUUUCUUCUGUGGUUUUCAGAGAAAACAACAACAAAAUGAAACUCAGAGUGACCUGCACAGACCUAUUGAUAACAGCCAGUUCUCAUAGAGCAUUUUCACAUCAAUCUUCUGAGACAGACAGGGUAAGAGCAUUAUAGCCAUUGCAGAGGUGGGGAAACUGAGUCUAAGACCUGUUGAGGGACUAAGAGUAGCAAACAAAUAUGUAUUCAAAACUUGAAUACAUAUUUUCCUACUUCAUUCACUAUUCAAUAUUAUCUUAUCUCUCAGUUUUACUUUUACAUUUAAAGCCAAAAUUUAUUAACCUAGAAUGACUAUAUGUAGAGGACUGCUUACACAAACAAAAGGUGGUGUCUUUGAAUUGCAUGGUGCAAGUGACUUGAAAAUUACCUUAACCUACUAAUAUGAUUAGAAAGUCUGCUGAAGGGUGUGGUAAUCAUGUGCAUUUCUACAGAUUAUGACACUGUUUUUACACACGUACAAUGAUGUAGAACAGGAAACCAUAAUUACUUGUAACCAGAUUUAGAAAAAUUUUUUUGUUGUCUUGAUAUUUUUUCAGCAUGUUGUCCUAGAAAGCAGGCAAAGGAGGAAAAAGAGAAUGUGUACAAAGAAAAUACCCUUUUUCAUACAGAAAAAAGGGCAGCAUUAUAAGGAAGAACCAUGUACACACACACACACACACACACACAUACAAAUACACACACAUAUAUCUAUUCUUCUUUUCCUCUAGGUCUUAAUAAAAACACAAAAGCAGCUUCUGCAAACAGUAGACAGUUCCAGGGGAAAAGCCAGUGCCCAGAGCACUCCCAACCCAAUCAAUCAAACCCUAGACCUAGAGCACAAUUGAGCCAUUUUCUUUUUAUUACAACAAUUCAAAAAUUUGGAAGAGAAAAACCCAUCUGUAAUCUUACCAGCCCAACAUGACUAUUUCCAGUUUUGCAAAUUUCCUUCUAGUUUUUCUUAAUAUGAGUAUUUUUUCUAAAGUCCCUAACAUGUAGUCAUUUUUUUUGAGUUGCAUCAAAUACUUCAGAAGAAAAUAAAUUUAAAUGCCAUCACACUCUUGAAUUUGUGGUGGCCAUGUUAUAUUUACUUUGGAAGUUAUCUCAGAACUUUUUUUUUGAGACAGAGUCUCACUCUUUCACCCAGGCUGGAGUGCAGUGACACAAUCUCGGCUCACUGCAACCACCGCCUUCUGGGUUCAAGCGAUUAUCAUGCCUCAGUGUCCUGAGUAGCUGGGAUUACAGGCAUGCACCACCACACCCAGUUAGCUUUUUGUAUUUUUAGUACAGACAGGGUUUCACCAUGUCGGCCAGGCUAGUCUCGAACUCCUGGCCUUAAAUGCCCACCUCUGCCUCCCAAAGUGCUAGGAUUACAGGUGUGUGCCACCAUGCCCAGCCUAUUUUAGAACUUUAUCUCUUAGGCAAAAGUUUCUGCUUCAGAAGUUGUACUCAAGUUAAAGAGAAUUUAUUAAUGUUGCCCUCAGAUCACACAUGGAGCCCAGCG
rnacentral:lncRNA from 1 species